rnacentral:lncRNA from 1 species
CGCUUACAGUCGUUACAAAGUCUCAAGGAUUCAUCCUUCGUUUCCCACAACCAUACUGGAGCAAUCCAGAGUGAGGUACUAGGUCGGACAAAACCCCUUGUCUACCAAGUCUCGCCUCUACUCUACUGCUACCUCUCUCUAUGCAGGCGCCAUCCUAUAGGGAAGGGUAGAAAUGGUUCUGCGUCCAGACACCACUCCU